rnacentral:rRNA from 1 species
AUGUUCUAACGUUGGCCCCUAAUCGGGGUUGCGGACAGUGCCUGGUGGGUAGUUUGACUGGGGCGGUCUCCUCCCAAAGAGUAACGGAGGAGCACGAAGGUGGGCUAAUCACGGUUGGACAUCGUGAGGUUAGUGCAAUGGCAUAAGCCCGCUUAACUGCGAGAAUGACGGUUCGAGCAGGUGCGAAAGCAGGUCAUAGUGAUCCGGUGGUUCUGAAUGGAAGGGCCAUCGCUCAACGGAUAAAAGGUACUCCGGGGAUAACAGGCUGAUACCGCCCAAGAGUUCAUAUCGACGGCGGUGUUUGGCACCUCGAUGUCGGCUCAUCACAUCCUGGGGCUGAAGUCGGUCCCAAGGGUAUGGCUGUUCGCCAUUUAAAGUGGUACGCGAGCUGGGUUUAGAACGUCGUGAGACAGUUCGGUCCCUAUCUGCCGUGGGCGUUGGAAGAUUGAAGGGGGCUGCUCCUAGUACGAGAGGACCGGAGUGGACGAACCUCUGGUGUUCGGGUUGUGUCGCCAGACGCAUUGCCCGGUAGCUAAGUUCGGAAUCGAUAACCGCUGAAAGCAUCUAAGCGGGAAGCGAGCCCUGAGAUGAGUCUUCCCUGAUACUUUAAGUAUCCUGAAGGGUUGUUCGAGACUAGAACGUUGAUAGGCAGGGUGUGUAAGCGCUGUGAGGCGUUGAGCUAACCUGUACUAAUUGCCCGUGAGGCUUAACCAU